rnacentral:lncRNA from 1 species
CGCAAUCGAAGUCGUUUUGGCCGCCAAGUCCAGGCACUAUCAUAACGGAGUAGCUGAUGAUGAUAAAGAAGGUCACGGAGAGGCAGGGUCCCGAUUGCUGGUUUCUCCACAGGAGUUCGAUAAGUCCGAGGUAAGGUUCGUUUUCUACAUUUAAAAAAAAAUCUUUUGCUUGUUCUAAUGAAAUUGGAUAUUGUUAAAGACAGACUGUACUUAUAGAUAGAAAAAUGCAUUGAAAAUGUUCUUCUUCCUUGGAAUGAAAAACCAAUUGUUGUAAUAUUAUCUUAACUAAUCAUGAUUAGUAAUAAUGUUUAUGAUAGUAUAAACAUAGUUAUAAUGUUAAUUGGUUAAAUUUAGGGUUUAUUGUAGUUUCCGUGUGGAGAUUGCUUUUGAUAUUGAAGCCAAAAGCAUGUUUGGAUGCGUGCUAGAAUAUACUUUUUAAUAGUUGACAAUGAAAGUUUUUUGAUCUUUAAGUAUUUAAUAAUAAGAUAUACUUAUACAUGAAUUUGGGUUACAUUUUUCUAAUUGAAUGAGAUUAUGAGUUUUACUAGUUUCUUUUGCUUUUUAUCAACUUCAGAACAAAUUUAAUGUCAAUAAAAACUCAAAAACUAUAUGAAGUUUUAGUUUUUCUCUUCUGUGAAUUGAUUAUAGUGUCUGUUGUUUGAUUCCCUUGUGGAUGUGUUAGAACAAACUUUUACUUCAUCAGAUUAUUGGAAGAAAAAGAAAAUGCUCAAAUGCAGAAUCCCUUUGAGUUUCUUAUGCUUAUGAGAGUUCAGCGUCCAUCUGAUUUGUUGUAUAAUUAUAAAAACAGAGUGGGUAGACAUCUUUUUUAAAGUUAGAGGACCUAAAUUCCUCUAAUUCCAUUUUGUUAUUAUAACAUAAUUUUUGGUCUUCUUUUGUACUUUUCUUACCGAGUUUGUGCUUUUAACUAGUGACACUAGCUCAAUUAGACACAUUCUAUAUAGUAUAAAUAAAUACUAUUUAUAACAAUUUUAUUUUUCUUUUCCGAGUAUGUAUUGAUGGUUUGAUUCUUGCUUCAUCUAUGCUUGUGCCUUAAAUGAAUAAAACAUUGAGGAUAUUAUCAAUAGAAUUUUACUUUUUCUUCUCUUUGUGGUUAAGUUUGAUUUGAUGCUUACAAUAUAAAUACCAUGGUUUCCAUCUAUCGCUAACUUGUUAUGUGGAUUCUAUUGGUUAAACUACCCCACAAGUCCCUGGAUUAUAGAUUGAAGUGUAAAUAGGCUCUCUAUUAUAAAACUGAGUAAUAUUGUCUUGGUCUUUCUCUCUUCUCUCUUUUUUUUUUUUUUUUUUUUUUCGGUCCUGGUCUAUUUAAUUCUGAAACAAUGAGGUAACCUUGAAUGUUAAAAAAAUUCUGACUUGUAUUUUAAAGUGAUCUGGAAAAAUAUAUAAAACUAAAAUCCAGCAUUUUCAAAACGCCACAAGGACUAAAUUUUGCUUACUUUAGACAUGACAAGUCAGCAUCUUUUAACACCAUAACUUUACUGUCGUUUAUAAUUUUACAUAUUAGCUCCUAAAAUUAUAGUACAAGGAUCCACCAGGUAGUUUAACAACAGUGUUUCUUAUUUUUAUUUUGUUAAAAAUGAACAAUAACCAUGACAUACAGACACAUGCUCACAAGGAAAAGGGGGUAUAACCGUGAUAUGCUACUUUCAGAAGUUGUAGCUUUGUGUAUUAUUUUAUUCUUCAAAGUAAAAACAGGGUAACUUGUCCAUUUAUCAUUUCUUUAGUUCUUUUAUAUACUUACAUACAUAAAUAAUAGUUUACAUCAUUUUAUCAUAUUGGCUAGCUCCUUUUUCCUGUAAUUUAUUAUUUUUUGAAUAGGAUGGUUGAAUAUUUCUGAUAAAGAGAAAUUGGUAUGGUAGCAUGAUAUCUGAGUUUAAUCUCUGUUUCUGUUUCGUUCUGAUCCUAUAGGUGCUACAAAUUUUACCAAUAAGGUCAUUGUCUUCCAAGAUUGUGGGGAAGAGGUCCGCCCUAUCUUUGGAGGCAUUUCUAUGUGAAUAUUUCCUCUCAGGUUCUCCAGUUAUAAUUACUGAUUGUAUGGCUCACUGGCCAGCUAGGACAAGGUGGAAUGAUAUGGAUUAUUUAAGAAGGAUUGCUGGUGAUCGUACUGUCCCAGUUGAGGUGAUUAAUCUUCCUGUUUUUUUUUUUUUCAAAAUUCAGUAGAGAUCAAAUCUGUAACAAAUGCUUUGGUACAUUAUCUCUUCCUGACAUAUGUUCUCCUACCUGCAUAUAUACUAUUUUCUCUUUUAAACAGUAAUUUAUCUGAUCUUUUCUACAUAAUUUGAUCUUUUAAACAUAUUUAUUUGAUCUUUUCUACAUAUUAAGUCACUUAACUGGGAAUAUUUCUCUGUUACCGAUCUUAAUUAUUUUCUCUCAGCAUUUAAGCUAAGGCGCAUUCUUGUGUGGAUCUUGAUAAUCUAAUGUGGGUUUGUGGCUCAUCUUUUUUUGUAUUCUUACAUAGAUCCUGAUGGUUUUAGUUUGGUUCCGAAGGCAAUUUGUGUCUUCAUAUGCUCAAUGAGCGAUUGCUAGGUUAAAGAUCCUUAUGCUUUAGUUUUUUUUGUGGGCAUUGUAAUGAAUUUACUCAAUCUUGAGGCACUUGCAAAGAGUCACGUGCCUGAGUGUUUUCUUGAUUGUAAGGUUACUAAAUGGUUGAUCUUCUAGUGUAUCCCAACUAAUUAUUAUUCCUUAGCGGAUGGAGCCAUUAUUGCCAAAAUUGAACCCAGAUAUCCUUCUACAUCUAGAUUAAUGUACUUACCUUGUUACAAUCAGACAAUCAAGUGGGCUCACACCCAGUAUUUGCAAAUAUUUAAGCUUUCCACUAAACCCAACCCUUCUUAAUCCGUCAGUUAUCAUAUCGUUUUGCUUACUUUGUUUUGCUUGACUAAUGAUUAUGUGAUCAUGUGUAGUUCUCAGGCAAUUUAGUUGAGCAAUGGAAUCCUUCUCCAGGUAAUAGGAUUCUUAAUGAUCAUAAUGGAAAAAAGCUUCAGAUCUUUCCUUUGACGGAUGAAUCUUUCAGGGAACGUUGUAGUUGGGUGUUUGGUGAAUUAAACAAGCUUUCAUCAUUUGUUCAGCAACAAAACAAAAAGGAAUUCUUGUACGUACACUAUUAUUUAAAGGGCUGAUUGGGUCAGUGUCACCCAUUAACCCAGUCCCAACUCGAUUGGGAAAUUACCGGAAACCUGUUCCUUUAAUAAAAUAACAAACAUUAAUAUGACUAUUUUUGUCAUUUUUAUGUUUUAUGUAAAAUCUAGAGAAAUGCACAAAAUAAGGUUUGAACCUAAAACAUCAGACUUUAAUAACUUAACUUCACUAUUUCAACCAAAGUCUCAGUUAUUUUUUUUAUCAAUUUUUUUAUAAAUACAUUUGUUAUAUAAGUUUUUGUUCCACCCACAUCAUGGGUAAUGCCAUAAUCUAGUUAGAAUCUUUUCAUAAUAUUCUUGCUGUAAGAAAUGAUUGGUUAACCUGCCCCAAUACUAAAAAUGGUUAACUGAAGGAACUUAAGGAUUGGUCUAGAUGGUUCAGCCACCCACUUUUGGACUUAGGAGCGGAAAUAAAAUGGUUUGCUGAAGUCUUCAAAAUUGUAAAGUUAUUCUUCACUUAACUACCUAGUUAUUGUCACUAAGAAUUGCUAUUAUGGAUGGAGAUUGUAUUAUUGAAAGCUAUUUAAUUCUAUUUCCUUUAUUUAUUUUUGGCAAGUUAUUACUAUGAAGAUAAUUAAACUGAAAGCUGGUAAAGCUUGGAAUGCUUUUCAGGUAGGAAAAAACUACUUGUGUUCAGAGUGGAAGCAAGAGCUUGUUACAUUUUCCGAGUUUCUUGAGAGGGUUCAAUCUACAGGCUGCAGUAGUAAGGCCCCUACAUAUUUGGCACAACACCAAUUGUUUGAUCAGGUAGUAUUAUCCUCUUAUUUUAUUCUUUGUGAGAUUUAAUUUCACUGUUAUGUACUGAAGCUGCAUUAAUGCUACUACAAUAAUGCAGAUAAAUGAUUUGCGGAAAGACAUUUCUAUUCCUGACUAUUGUUGUGCUGGUGGUGGGGAGCUGAGAUCUCUCAAUGCAUGGUUUGGUCCAGCUGGGACGGUUACACCUUUGCACCAUGAUCCACACCAUAAUAUCCUUGCUCAGGUACUGUCAUGCAUUGAUUAAUCCUAACAAAUGGUAAGGUGAAUCAUGGUCUCCGAUGAAAUUUUUUUCAUAUCUCAUGAGUCUUAGACAAAUUCCUUUGCACCAUGAUCCACACCAUAAUAUACUCGCUCAUGAGUCUUGAGAUGGUAGGUUUGUUUUCAGUUUUGGAGCUUAGAUCAUAAAGUAGUGGUAGCUUGACUCAUGUUCCCCAUGCUGCAUUACAUUAUUGACAUGCUAUCUUGUGCUAUUAUUUUAGUAUUAUGGACUCAUGUUUAAAGUAGGCUCCAAAUCGGUAUAUGUCCAACUGGUUUAGAUUUGUAAAUGAGUAAUUUACCAUCCUACUAGUUCACAAAAGAGAAUUUCUUAUUUUUAGUAAAUUAUGAGUAGCAGCAUGCAAGGGCUCCUUGAAAUGAAUUGUAUGAAGGGGAUUCUUUAAUCAGGGAAAACAUCUUAAUCAACAUUGUUGCAUAUUUCAUUAUGCUCUUUGAUACAUUUAGGUCAUCAUGCAUUUUAUUUUUGCUUCAGAUUUGUGCAAAAUUAGACAUCCAGACUACUAGUUUAAAAGAUUAUUUGGGGUCAUUGGAUAAAAACCAUGGCAUUUUCUUCGAAUGGUUUGCAUGAAAUUUGAAAUGUUCUAAUCUUUUAAAUCAUCUACUUUUCUUUUUGAAUAAAUUUCAAAGUUUUAACAUAAUGUGCUUUCUGGUAAGCACCGAAUCAUCUCUAGGGUCAUAUUUCUUACAUACAAUGAUAAGUGGCCUUCAGUCAAGCAUCUCCAGUAGGAAAAGGGUAAUAGUGAGUGUUAGGUUAGCAUGUAGCAUUUCUUGAGCUAUGUUUUUCAAGAGCAUCAAUUCUUCAUUGAUGAUUGUUGACCUAUGCUUCUCUUCAUGAGUAUUGUUCAACUAGCUAUUUUAGCUCUACACUUUUCAACAGCUCAAUUACAAUGACUCUUGUAUAAACUUUUUUUUAAGCUUUUGAAAUGGUUUUCAGGCAAUUUUCUUUUCCCUUAUGCUGCAUUAUCUAUGAACGCUUGUUGGUGGGUAGCAGGUCCAGUUUAAUUCUGCAUGGAUUUAACUCAAUGGAUAUUCUGCUCCUUAUUUUAGGUUGUUGGUAAGAAGUAUGUGAGACUCUACUCUGCUACAUAUUCUGAGGAGCUUUACCCAUACAGCGAAACCAUGCUCUACAAUUCCAGCCAGGUAUCCACUUACUUGAUCCCCUCUCUUGGAUUGAUGAACUUUGUGUAAGAGAUAAAACUGAUAUUGUAGUGUUUCAUCCGUGGAGACUCUUUAAGACAUGCACAUUCUCUCACUUGGACAAGUAAAUGACUUGCCUGAAUACUUUUCAUGAUAAAAUUUGCAUUACAGUGUUCCAUCCAUGUAUACUCUUAAGACAUGAACAAAAAGACACUCACUUGGACAUUGAAACACCUUUUUUUCUAUUGUCUUGGCGAAUCCAAUGUGCACAUCUAGCAUUAGAUUGACCACUUUUUCAUUUAAGGGCUUGGUCAUGAUUUUUAGUUUGAUUUAUAACCAUUUUCAGCAAGGUUGGUACUUUUUUAGAUUUCUUCUAGCUGUAGUAUAUGUUUUGCUCUGUUAAUUUACAGCUGAGCAGAGUUUGGUUAGGCAAGGAGCAGCAUGUCUUGUAUUGAUUUUAAAGGAACACUUGCUUUAAUAGAUUUUUGUUCAUUGGUGUGCUACAUUGUUUGUUUCCUAAGAAAAAAAUUAAAUUUCUCCCAACUGUUGGGCGGUAAAACCUGAUGUGUUGGGACAAAAAGAAAACAUUGAACUACUUAUGAAUUUCAUAUAGAGAUGUUUUUUAUAAGAGCUGUUUAUUUUGUUAUGCGUCUUUUAUCAGUUAAUAUGAAAAGCUUUAGCAACAAACACUGACCAAAGAUGUAUGUUAUGAAGGUUGAUCUGGACAACAUAGAUGAGGUAGAGUUUCCAAAGGUGCGUGACUUAGAAUUCAUAGACUGCAUUUUAGAGGAAGGUGAAAUGCUUUAUAUCCCACCGAAAUGGUGGCAUUAUGUGAGAUCAUUAACGACAAGUUUUUCAGUCAGCUAUUGGUGGAGUACUGAUUCUGGAAGUUCAAUGGUGUCUUAGAAUAUGUAAACAUUUAGUAUUCUUUCUAUGUCUAUGUUGUAAAGUUCUUUUUGGAAGAGAAGUGGACUUCAUGUAUAUCAAAACCUUUGCUAGCAAAAUUUACGUGCAGCCAGCCUGAAAGAGAAACAAUGAUAAUAGUGUAUUUAUGCGUGUAUGGGGAGUUUUUGACUGUAUCUUUGAACUCGCCCUAGUUUACCGGAUAGGUUUGAUAUCGAACAUCUUUCCAAGCAAGCUCUCUGUCUCUCCCACACAAAAAUAUGAUUUAUUAUCCAUAUCAUCUUUUUUUUUUUUAUAUAAUUUGUUAAUUUUUUUAUAUAAUAUUUAAAACUACUCGUAUCCAUUCUUCAACUCUUAAAUAGUCCAUUCUUGAACUCUUAAAUAGAAUGAUAAGCAUGUUCCGGUGUGUUCAAAUUUAUGCCCUUUGCGUUGGUAAUAAUGUCGAUGCCAAUCAAGUUAAGAUUCAAUUAGCAUAAAUUGUUAAAAUUUUAAAAUUAAUAAUUUUAUUUAUUUAAAUAUGUAACUUUAUUAUUUCAGUUAAAUUUAAAUUAAUAAAAAUUAAAAGUAGAGAUAUUAAUUUAUAUUGAAAAUGAUAAAUAUUUUUUAUAAAUUUAAUUAAAUUUUAAAUUAAUUAUUUUUCACUAUUUAAGUAUGCAAUUUUUAUUAAUAAUCUAUUGGGUAAAUUACUUAAUUAAUCAUCUAACUUUUUAGACGUUUUUAUUUUAAUUACUCAAAUUUAAAAAAUUUAUAAUUUAGUCAACUAUCAUUAGAAAUUUUUUAUUUAAGUCUCUCAGUAAUCCCAUAAAAGGACAUCUGUCUUGGCACAGCAAAUCCCAAUCUAAUAUAACUUUUUCGCCAAUUGAAUUUUUCUUUCAUUUUUUUCUUUUGGUCAUAUUUCAUCAUUCUUCCCUAGCAAGAGAUGUAGGACUUGGGGAACUGUCCCUUUUACCGGUAUUAUCGAAUCAAACACGCUGAUUUUGCUUAUAGAACACACCCUUUAUGCCUCAAUGGCCAACCCCAUAUCUUUCAUCUCUCCAUAAAAUCUCGUUUCAGCUCUUCCCACAGCCAUUCAUUUGGGAUCUCUGUUUCCAUAUCGGUAACUACUCUGUUUCUAUUAUAUCUCUCUUUUAAUUUCAUCAUUAUACUUUUAAAUUUGUUGUUUCUUUUUUCUUUUUCUGUCAUAAUCAAAGUAUUUAUUUUCUUGUCAAAUCAUAUAAAUUUCUUCACUAUCCACAUCCUCUUAUAAUUCCCAUUAAUGUAUCUGACAUUGUCAAUUUCGUUUAAGAUCUGUUGUUUUAAAUUUGGGGUGUUUGUUAUUUUUUUGAGAAUAAAUUUAUAAUCUUUUUGGGUUUCCAAAAUGUUAUCUAUUAGCUUUGAAUCCACUAAAAAAUAAUAUGCUACUGGCAGUUUAGUAGUUGGUUAUGCACUUUGUUCAAGCGUACUUGCUGUUAUAACCAAAUUCAAUUACCUAGGUUUAUUGACUGCAUUACAUUCCUUAACUUCUGCUUUAGGGGUCUGGGUUUUGGGAAAAUUUGGAUUUUUACAUCAUGAACCAUGCGAAUGUGGAUACUUCCAUAGUGUUUAGAUCACUGACACCCUUUUUGGGUUGCCUUGGCUGAUACAACCUUUAGGAGGCAAACCUUGUCCUUCAAAGCUCACAUUUAUGUCUCUUUUGAUCAUUUUGGGUGGUACUGUUGAGUAUGUAGCUACUGAUUCCGCUUUUACUUUGAUUGCUUAUUCAUGAGCGUUUGCGUAUUUGGCUACGAUCACCACUGAAAUUAUUUACACCUUGGAUUGAGUUCUUGGGGCUUUGUGUUGUACAAUAAUUUGUUGUCCUUAUGAUGUUAGAAAAGGUGGUACGCAAAAGAAACUUAUGAAGUAAGAAAGAAAAAUUAAGGAAAGAAACAAAUAGGCUUGAAGUGUGAUUCAUUGACUUGGCUUUAAUUUGCUUCAUAUAGACACUUAUUACGUAACCUGUGGUACAAGUUACGUUUUUCUCUAACAUUGUAACUUUUCAGAAAGCUAUGUUUUUUUCAUUUAAUGUAUUUUCUGAAAGUUUGGUAUUCAAAUAUAUUUAUUCAACGCAAAUAAAAUAAUUGUUAUGAUUAUUUCGAAAAUAAAAAAUAAUAACUAUAUGUACAUAAAGCCCAAGAAUCUACCAUUUGACCUGUAAAUAUGUACAUAAAGUCUAAUAGGUAAGCCCACUUAACUAAUGGGCUACACACUCAAUUAUCCAAAUUGUAAAGAAUUUAAUAUUUGUUAGCAAGGUGGGAUUAUUAACAUUGCAAACUAUUAACAGAUGACCUAUAUUUUAGGUUUUGAUUGGAGAAUACGAUUAGAUUGUUUACCAUGAAAGUUCCAAGCAAGAACAGGGACCAAAAAUGGGAAUUACACUAGUACCAACACAACCUCAAAGAGAUAAUCAAGAUAGCUAUGAGAUGCAUAUAACAACAGAGGGUAGUUCUGAAGCAGGGGAAGGCAUCUUUGGUUCUCAGAAGUUGGUGUGGGAUGAUAUGAUCAAAUCAGGUGUUGGAAGUAGGAGCAUGGGAGGGAAACAAAGUUGGGUCGGGUUGGGGAAGAAGAAGAAUGAAAUAUGACAAAAGAGAAGGAAAAAAAAAAGAAAGAGAAAUUUUUUAUUGGUGAAAGGAGUUAGGUUAGUGAGAAUUUUCUAACGGUAGUGACUAAAUUACAUUUUUUUUUAUUUGAGGGAUCAAAAUGAAAGGGCUUAAAAAGUUGGGUAAUCAACUAGGUAGUUUAUCUUAAUUUAUUUUAUUUAAUUUUAUAGCAAUAUAGGAGGACAUGGGUUCGAGUGUACUGAAUCUCAUUAUCCUCUUAUUUAUGGAGAAGGACUAUGUAUAGUUUUAAACAUUGUCUUCUCAAAAAGAAUUUUCUAACGGUAGUGACUAAAUUACAAGUUUUUUUUAUUUGAGGGAUUAAAAUGAAAGCACUUAAAAAGUUGGGUAACCAACUAGGUAGUUUAUCUUAAUUUAUUUUAUUUAAUUUUAUAGCAAUAUAGGAGGACAUGGGUUCGAGUGUAUUGAAUCUCAUUAUCCUCUUAUUUAUAGGUUGGAGAGAGACUAUAUAUAGUUUUAAACAUUGUUUUCUCAAAAAGAACAUAUAUGAAUUCAAAAAAAAUUCUAUUACUUUGUAAUUAAAAAUAUAAAAAUAAAUAAAUUAAAUAGAAAAUAAAUAGAUAAACAGUACUAAUGGCAUAUACAAGUCUGAAACAUCUCACAUAGUUUAAAAAAGUAAUUCUAUUCAUCCUAACUUGUUCUUAUCACUAGCAUAUACAAGUCUUUUCACAUAAUCUCAUUUUGCAUAAAAAUCUAAAAUAUAUUAUCUAAUCAUUGGUCUAUAAGUAUGUAGGCUAUGGACGACACCUAAUGUAACUAAGAAGCAACUCGCAACUGUACACAUUUGCAACCAUACUGUCAAUGUAAGAUCAAUUCUUUUACUGUAACAGCCCGUUUUCAAUGAAAUCAGAACAGUGGUUUCGAGACCACAAAUCUGAAGUUGGAGAAAAAAAUUUAUUUUAUUAUUUUAUGGUCUACAGUAUGAUAAAAAUUUCGUAUAAAAAUUUCGUUAAGAAAUUUUACCGUUUACAUGCCUAAUUUGAUAAAAAGGACUAAAUUGCAUAAAGUGCAAAAGUUAAGUUCUAAUACCUAAAGGGAUUAAAUAGCUAUAAAAUUUUAAAUUGGAAGUCUUUAUAUGAUAAUUAUCCAUUAAGGUUGAUUAAUGGUUAAGCAUGAAUAGUCAUUAAAAUUGAAUGAAUUAUUAAGGUUAAUUUUGGAAAUUAGUGAUUAAAGUUAAGAUAAAAAAGAAAGACUAUCAUCAUCAUCUUUCACCAAAAAAAAAAGAAAAGAAAAGAAACCUAGCCAUGGAAGUUUGAAAAUUUAGGCAAGCUUAUUUUGCUUAAUUAGGUAUGUAUUCUUGUCCCGUUUUUUAUGAUUUCUAUGUUUCCGAUAUUGUAGUAGCUUAAUCUAGCUAGCUCGAGGAUUAAUUUACAAAACUGUUAAAGUGUUAGGGUUUUGCCAUUGAUGAAUAUGCUUGAAUUUUGAAGUUUGAUAAUAGAAAAUUAAUGGUUGUUGUUACAUAAACAACUUUUGUAAAGAGAAUUUUGAUGAAAUCAUUAAUUAGAGACUAAAUUAAAAAGGUGAUAAAUUUAUGGUAAAUUUUGUGAAAUUGUGAAAUAUAUGGGCUGCUAUUAAUAUCUGUAAAAAUUGGCUAGGCUUGAGUAAGGAUUAAAUUGCAUAAAAAAAAUUUUCGAGCCUAGUGACUAAAUUACAAAGGAAUUUAAAAGUAUAGGGCAAAAUGGUAAUUUUUCCAAAAGUUCCAUGUUGGAUUAAAUUGAAUGAGAAUUAUAUUGAAAUGAGUUAAAUUCAUUCAUAUAAAUCCUGUCAGACUUCGUACAGAGUUAGAUCGAGGCAAAGAAAAAAUAUAUGAUUAGACGCCUCCGUAUUUACGUACACUUAUUGAGGUAAGUUCGUGUAAUUAAAUUGAGUAUUUAUGCGUUUUAAUUGAAUCAUAUGUAUGUGAUUUGUAUAAUUACUAUGUAUAAAUACCAAUCACAUAUCUGACAAUUACCGAGUCCCGUUUGAAUUUUAGGAAUUCGUAGGAUACAAAUGACAUGUCAUUAGGGUUACCGAUUUGGUUGGGGUCAUGCGUGUGUUGCGGACACACCAUAGCUCGCAUGAGCUUCCUGUUACUCAGCUCGCAUGAGCUUCCCGUUAUUCAGCUCGCAUGAGCUUCCCAUUAUACAGCUCGGAGGAGCUUACUAUUUACAACUCGUAUGAGUAUACAUGUACAUGAAUUGACGAAUUACAGUUAAGUACACUUCAUGUGUACUACCCGUGUAUCCAACGAUAUUCUAAAUGGUUCAACGGGUACAGUUCUGUUAUGAGAUUAUAUGAGUUCGAUAUGAACUAUUACUAGUAUUUACAUGAAAUACAUGAAAUAUGAUUAUUUGAUGAAUUCAACCAUGUGUGUUGGAUCUUAUAUGUGAUUUUCAUGGCUAAUAUGUUGGUGAUCAUGUGUUUAGGCUUUUGGCCAAAUUGGUUGAGAUAUACUUUGUUUACUUACCUAUUUUAUGGAUAUAUGGUAAUUUAAAUUCUGUUUUAUACGAACUUACUAAGCUUAAAUGCUUACUCUGUGUUAUUUUCCAUGUUUUAUAGUAAUUUGGAAGCUCGUACGAGUUGGAAGCUUGUCGGAGCUAUAUCACACUAUCCAUCGGCUCUUUUGGUACUUUUGGUUAAUUAAUUCCGAUUAUAAUGGCAUGUAUAGGUUAAUUUUGCCAAUGUUGGCAUAUAAUUGUUUUGUUGAGAUUAGCCACUUAUAUGGCUUGUGUUUGGUAUAUUUUGAUGUGUAUAUAUGAUGCCUUAUCAUAUUUGAUGUGUGUUUGAUAUGGUAGAAUGAAAGAAAGUAAAAUGUGGUUUGAAAAUGCAUAUAUGUAUUUGGUAAUUUAGGUAAGUUUGAAUACUUGGUUGACAUGUGUUUAAGUUGUCAUUCGAAGUGCCUAAGGGCAUAUUAGUUGUAUGUGGUGAUAUUUCAUGUUUAAGAUUUGAUUUUGACUUGUUUGAAUGCCUUGUUAUGGCUUGUUGAUGUGCAAAAAUGUUAGAGUUAGGUUGGUGUCAAAUUGGAUGAAAAAUAUGGCUUGAAAAAUAACCUAUUUUCGUCCACACGGAUGUGUGUCUCAGCCGUGUGUAACACACGGUCAGGUGACACAGCUGUGUGUCCCCUAUAUCUUCUUAAUGGUGCAAGUCAGUAUACUCACAUGGCCUAGCACACGGGUGUGUGUCCUUAUUUCAAAUGUCCACACAGUCUAAGACACGAGUGUGUCUCCACACGGCCUAAUCACACGACCAUGUGACCCUUGCAGUAUUGAAAAUUUUUAAUAUUUUUUGAAAAUUUUUUUGAGUAUUCGAUUUAGUCCCGACUUGUUUCUAAUGCGCAUUUUGGGCCUCGAGGGCUCGCAUAAGGAACAAUAUGUUUGAUUUUGAUUGGUUUCUGACAUGAAUAUUAUCUGAUAUAAAAUGUUUAUUUAUUUGAUCUGUAAACUCUGGUAAUGCUCCGUAACCCUGUUCUGGCGAUGGAUUUGGGUUAGGGGUAUUACAUUUACACCUCUCACUUUGUACUAUUAAAGGCAGACAAGUCAUUACUGUAAGUGUUACAUAUCUUCAAAUCAUAGGAAAAUGGUCGCAUUUCUUCAAUACUACUCUCAAUAACAAUAAAACAAAAUCAAAGAAUUUAAUUGCAAAAGAACUUACAAUGAUUCAGUGAAUACAAGAGGCUUAGUUGUGGGUGGAGGAAGCAAUCAAGCAAGCCAAAGAAGAAGAGAAAGCAAUAACACACUGACAAAGAAAAAUGAACAAUACAUAUUAAGAGUCUUUGCAAAGGACAAAAUAGAAAUUACAACUUUCUUUGCAAGUAAAAAACCUGAAAUUUAUUUCUUUAUAAAAUUUCAUUCAACAAAACUGGCUCUUUAUUUAGCAAAUAACAAUGUCUUUAACAAAAAUUAUAGUUGUUUUAAAAAUGAUAUUUAAAGAUAACUAAAUUAUUUUAAAAUAUUUAAAGAUAAUGUAAAUAAAUAAAAUUAAAUAACCAAAAACUAUAAUAUUCAACGUUCCAAUAGCCCAUGAAAUUGAUUGGGUUACGUUCAUUAUCAACACCGAGGAUGGCCUUCGAUUUUGGGGCCAAUUAAAAGAUUCAAUUUUUAUUUAAGAUUUAAAACUUAGCAACUAAGAAACGUAUUACUAUAUAAAAAGGAGAAAAAAGACAAGCUAAAUGUAAAUUAAUAUUUCUUUCACAAAAUAUAUGCUCAGAGAAUUACCAUAUAAUUAUUAAUAAAUUAAUCCCACUAGUUGUAAAAUGAAUUACCAAUGGUAAAAAUAUUAUACAAGUCAUUGUCUUAUAUCUUAAAUUGCAUUACAAUCCUUCUAUUUGAAAAAUAAUCAAAAUGGUCAUUGCACAUUACAAAAAAUAAGCAAGAUAACCCCUUAAAAGAAAAAAAAAACUAGAUUAAGUUGGCAUAGCUUAAAUGCCCAAAAGUUCAUAGCCUCGACUCUGAAAAGAAAAAUGUCAACAAAGAGUUACUGAUUUUUAACUAUUAACUAGUGUAUGUUUUGUAUAAUCCAACAUCAAUUCAUCCAAGCUCCCCAUUUUCGCUUUUUUACUUCCAUGACUACAAAUAAAUAAAAUGUAUUGACUGCAAUAUGUCUUAAUCUCUAAGUUCAAAAUUUAUUGCACUUCAACCAAAGAGAAAAAUGGGUGCUCUAUAAAAAAAAUUCAGCCAAAGAAGAAAAGAGGAGAAAAAUGGUAUGAUUGAUGCCCUUGAUAAGAUGAAGUUCUUAGAUAAAUUAAAAUAGUAAAAGUAAUGUGGAUUUAUAAACAACAUAACAUCUUCAACAAAAGAAAUAAGAAAAAGCUUCAAUAGAUUCUAUUAAGACUAGUUAGCCCUUAAAUAGAAGUUGACCCCCAUCCAGUUUAAAGUUCCCAACAAGAAAAAGUAGGAUUCACAAAAUUAAUGAUGAACAUCUAAAAGAUCGUAGAUAAAGUUUUUACUUCUAGAAUUUAUAUUAAGCAAGAAGUAUAGGAUUUCAUUUACUUGGCAGCUUGAAGUAUGCAAUUCAAAAGUGGAUCAAAAACAAUUUAAGGAAAAACAUAGAACUAACCAAAGAUCUUAUAUAAGAGGGAAGGUGUUUAGGUUUACUCUCAUACCCCCUGGUAGAAUCCAAUUACAACUCCGAAAUAUGCUAAAGCAACCUGAUAACCUUGUUCAUAAAUGUGUGCCAAAGGAAGAUAUGAUAUAUAUCUGGACAUGGGACAACUAUUUCAAUGAGGCAGAUAAGAAUGAUGAUUGCAAAACUUAAUUUAUUACCAUUUCAAAUAGUAACAAUUGAAGAAGCAUCUAAACUACAACACAUAUGGUAAAUGAUGCAAAAUUCUUUGAUACAAUAGAUGACAUAGAUAAAUGAAGAAAAACACCUACCAUGUAUAAAAUAAAUUAUAAUUACUAACAAUUUCGAGCUCACAAAACAUAAAACAUGUAUCACCUAAAAAUGAUCCUGUUUUCUUAAUUCAAAUAACUUAAUAAUUUAUAAUCAAAUUAAUUUCCAUGAAAAAUACGAAUGGCAUGCUCAUUACCUUGAAAACACCCCCAAUCAGAACCUACAUAAUCAUUUAUAAAGCAUUAGUUAGUAUAGGUAAGGCAAGAUGACAUCUAGACUUGACAGAGGAAUUCUUCAGGAUGCAUAAGUUUUCAUUAGUCAUUACCAAUAUUAUAAAGAAAUGAAAAAAUGUAACCAUAUAGUUAACUAACCAUUAAGGAAGAGAACUAAACAACAUAAGAAUGUGAUGCAUAUAUUUGAUCAGUAACUUUUCCUAUUCAAUUUCAUGACAUAAUAGGCAAUAAAAUCCCCAGAAUUGUGCUAAACAUCAUUUUUAAGCAACUCUUAAACGCAGUCUUAGUCACUAUCUUGCACUAACCAAAUACCCCUAACUACCCUAUAAUUCAUUACAAUAUCCAAUCUUUAUAACAAGACUAACCAUAACAUAAAGCAAAAUUAUAUCUUCAAAGCACACAAUGCAAAGUUAAAAAGAAUAAACAAAAAUCCUUGCACAAAUUACAAACCAUAAGAAUGCAACAUGUCCAGAUGAUAAACUUACAAAAAUUACAGAGCAAAAUUAUAUCUUCAAAGCACACAAUCAAGCUUUUGAAACAAGAAUUGGUGUUUAUACACAAGAGUUGUAGUACGAUUGGACCAAACGUAUUUUCAACGACGCUUUCUCAUCUCAUAACUAUUAACUCUACUAAUCUAAUCGUAUCUUUUCUUCUUAUUAGAGGUUUUUUUAAUCACUUUCGUUCUUUUUGCUUCUUUUGUUAUUUAUUAAUCGAAGAUUCAUUGUUGUUAAUAAAUUGAAGGAUAUGCGAUCUCAACAAAAUAUAAUUUAAGGAAAAAUAAAUAAAAUAAAACCCUAUAAGAAGUAAAAAGGAAAAGGAGAGAUUUUGUUGAGGCAGAAACAAAUUUCAUGGUGGAGCUUAAGAAAAGGGAAGCAAAAGAAAGAAAAGAAUAGUAUUGAUUAUGCUUGUUCAGGUCAAUUUCAUACUUCUAAGUACCCAAAUUAGACCAUCACUUACCAUAAAUAAGGAGGUUCAACUAGAAGGAAGAUGAAGAUGGUGAGUGAAUGCUUGAUUUGUCGUCGAUUAAUAUGCUAAUUUCUAGGGUUCACUUUGGGAAAGAAAGUCGAGGAAGAAUGAAAUGGUUUGAAGUGAAGAGUGAAAACAAUGUAGGUGAGAAGCCAAGAUAUUUUGAUCCAAAAAGGAAAAAAUAUAAUUACGGGUGAUAUUGAAUAGCUAAUUUAGACCCUAAGUCCUUAAAUUGUUAUUACACGCCAUGCCGCAAUAGAGACUUAUUCCAUUCGACAAUUGUUUAUGAUUAGCCCAUUGAAUAAGGACUAAUACAUCCAAGCAAAAAUGCUAACAAAUAAUUGAAAUAAGCGAGGGUACAGUCGGUGCAGGCAUUUA